CUGAAAAGUUGAGUUCUAGCUUACUCAGAGAAUUAACUCCUUGGCGAUGGAUUCACAGCAUCUGGUGAGAUGCGAAUAUAUGUAUCCAAAGCAGAGCAUCUAGCACUUGAUUCGGUGAUGAUUCAUCUCCGGUGAUUGGCAUUGGCGAUGGCUAAUCGCUAGAGGCUUCAACUUUCCUAAAUUUUGUUCUGAUGGGGUUUGUUGUUGUUUUUGGGUUGCCCCGCUUAUUUGGGGCUUUUGUCUUUAUUUCUAUUGCUAGCUUUUACUUUGUAAGACUUUAUCUUUCUAUUAUUUAAUUUAAUAAAUAUCCCUCCACUAAGAAUACUUAGUGGUUGCUUAAAAAUAAAUAAAUAAAAAUAUUACAUAAAUUGGUACUGUGACCUAUGUUUAUAAUAAUUCUGAAAUUUCAAACUAUUAUAUUAUCUUUGUUAAUUAUCUUUAAAAUAGAUUAUUUAAAUUCAAAAUGCACCAGUAGAAAGUAGUAGUUCAUAAACAAUGAGUUACUUAAUAGAGAAAUUGAGUGUAGAAAAAAUUGGUGAUGUUAUUGUCUUUCAAGUUUCAUCAUUUUUUUUUAAAGAAAAAAAAGUAUAGAGAAAGAUAUGGAAGGGUAGAGUAGUGAAAAAAGAAAAACCAAGAAAGCACUUCAGCAUGUGAAAGGAAAAAGGGGAAAUGGCUAAAAUGACGCUCAAACUAUAAUCGUAUUUAUUCUGCUACACUCAUACUUUAUGGGGUACUAUUACCCCAUGGCUAUAUUUUUUUAGUACAUUUAUUUGACAUUUGAUUAUGGGGUGAGCUGGCCAAGAAAGUGAUAACAUGCACACGGAGCGUAGGGGCUAAUUAAGCCAUUCGUUGAAUUUUUGCCAUGUGGUGCUUCUACCGGUAAUUUCAUUAAUCCCUUAAACAUCGGUAUAGUUGCCUGAUUUUAGUACCCAUUUUUUUCUCCAUUGAAGCUCGGAAAUUCAAUUUUUUUCUCCAAAAUCACGGUUGUCUUGAAGAGCUUUGAAAUUCGAUCCUUUUAUCCAAAGUCAAGGAUGUCUUGAAGAGUCAUCAUUGAGAUGCAUUCAUUGGAUUUCCCCUACAAAAUUUGGAAAUAAAAAGGAGGACAGAACGAUAGCAAGAAAAAGAAGAAGCACAACAGAAGGAGGCUGCACCAAAGUGGCUAAACUUCAAAAAAUGUUGCAAGUGACUACCAGGUGUCAUUUCGGUAAAACUUUACCUGUACCCCGUAUUAACUUCAAAGGAUAUUAAUUCACAUUGUUAAGUUAUAUAUUAAGGUCUGAAUAUGUAAUAGUAAUAUGUGAAGACGUGUCAUAUAUUUAUUGAAGUUGGUGUAAAUAUCAUAUAUACGGGUAAAUUUCUACCGUCAUUUUUAAUUCUUC